UACGACCAUAUCACGUUGAAAUUCCGUACGAUCACCGUAGUUAAGCCAGGUUAAGCCUGGUCAAUACCUAGAUGGGUGACCUCUUGUGAAUACCAAUUGUUGCAGG